GACCUGCACCUGGCUCCAUGGCGGAACCGGCUGGCACGGAUUAUUCCCCUCUCGGGAGAGGUCUGCAGCCGGGCUUCAGUGCUUCAGUUCGUGGCCUGGCAUUUUGUGAAGAGUGUCUUCAUCUCUGCAUCCCUAGUGCAACAGAGCAUGAUAAAAAUUCAAUAAAUAUUUAUUGAAGAGUCUUGUUGUCUUUUGGGAAAGGAACUCUAUGGUUACCUUUACUCUAAGAGAUGGGGAUCUCACUCUGUUUCCCAGGCUGGUCUCAAACUCCUGGCUUCAAGCAAUCCUCCUGCUUUGGCCUCCCAAACUUCUGGGAUUACAGAUAUGAGCCACCACGGCUGGCUGACAGGCACCAAAUUCUAGGAGAGGACUUCAAUAGACUCCCAAGGAGGCAGCAGAAACUGGGGUAAUCACAACGGUCAACAGCAGCAAAGGCAGCACUUUCUGA
rnacentral:antisense_RNA from 1 species